rnacentral:rRNA from 1 species
GACGAACGCUGGCGGCGUGCUUAACACAUGCAAGUCGAACGGAAAGGCCCUGCUUUUGUGGCUUGCUCGAGUGGCGAACGGGGGAGUAACACGUGAGUAACCUGCCCUUGACUUUGGGAUAACUUCAGGAAACUUGGGCGAAUACCGGAUAGGAGCUCCUGCUGCAUGGGGGGGGUUGGAAAGUUUCGGCGGUUGGGGAUGGACUCGCGGCUUAUCAGCUUGUUGGUGGGGUAGUGGCUGACCAAGGCUUUGACGGGUAGCCGGCCUGAGAGGGUGACCGGCCACAUUAGGACUGAGAUACGGCCCAGACUGCUACGGGAGGCAGCAGUGGGGAAUAUUGCGCAACAGGCGGAAGCCAGAUGCAGCAACGCCGUGGGCGGAAUGACGGCCUUCGAGUUGUAAACCGAUUUCGACUGAGCCGAGGCGUGCGUGACGGUAAUGGGUAAAGAAGCACCGGCUAACUACGUG